rnacentral:rRNA from 1 species
GCCUAAAGCGUCCGUAGCCUGGUAUGUAAGUUUUCGGUUAAAUCCAUAUGCUCAACAUAUGGGCCGCCGGGAAUACUGCACACCUAGGGAGUGGGAGAGGUAGACGGUACUCGGUAGGAAGGGGUAAAAUCCUUUGAUCUAUCGAUGACCACCUGUGGCGAAGGCGGUCUACCAGAACACGUUCGACGGUGAGGGAUGAAAGCUGGGGGAGCAAACCGGAUUAGAUACCCGGGUAGUCCCAGCUGUAAACUAUGCAAACUCAGUGAUGCAUUGGCUUGUGGCCAAUGCAGUGCCGCAGGGAAGCCGUUAAGUUUGCCGCCUGGGAAGUACGUACGCAAGUAUGAAACUUAAAGGAAUUGGCGGGGGAGCACCACAAGGGGUGAAGCCUGCGGUUCAAUUGGAGUCAACGCCAGAAAUCUUACCCGGAGAGACAGCAGAAUGAAGGUCAAGCUGAAGACUUUACCAGACAAGCUGAGAGGUGGUGCAUGGCCGUCGCCAGCUCGUGCCGUGAGAUGUCCUGUUAAGUCAGGUAACGAGCGAGAUCCCUACCUCUAGUUGCUAUCAUUACUCUCAGGAGUAGUGGAGCGAAUUAGCGGGACUGCCGUAGUUAAUACGGAGGAAGGAGGGGGCCACGGCAGGUCAGUAUGCCCCGAA